rnacentral:rRNA from 1 species
GACGAACGCUGGCGGCGUGCUUAACACAUGCAAGUCGAACGGAAAGGCCCUGCUAUUGUGGGGUGCUCGAGUGGCGAACGGGUGAGUAACACGUGAGUAACCUGCUCUAGACUUUGGGAUAACUUCAGGAAACUGGGGCUAAUACCGGAUAGGAGCUCCCGCUGCAUGGUGGGGGUUGGAAAGUUUCGGCGGUUGGGGAUGGAUUCGCGGCUUACCAGUUAGUUGGUGGGGUAGUGGCUUACCAAGGCUUUGACGGGUAGCCGGCCUGGGAGGGUGACCGGCGACAUUGGGACUGAGGUACGGCCCAGACGCCUACGGGGGGCAGCAGUGGGGAAUAUUGCACAAUGGUCGGGAGCCUGAUACAGCGACGCCGGGUGCGGAAUGACGGCCUUCGGGUUGUGAACCGCUUUCGCCUGUGACGAAGCGGGAGUGACGGUAAUGGGUAAAGAAGCACCGGCUAACUACGUG